UCGCUCCCGGGUCGGACACGAUCGCCAUUCAGCUGCAUUUCUUCACAAUAUUACUAUUUUACCCCGUUCUAUCUUCAAGCUAAACUCCUCGGCCUCUCCUCCUCACUCGAGUUCUCUCGCUUUUCCCCAAUGGUGUUAUGCAGAGCUCCGCUUUCGCUCUUCAUCGCAUCGCCGGUCGACAACAGCGCUAACUCCUUAACACCAUCGAUCUCUUUAUUCCACAUUUCCUCUCCUCUAAACAGCCAUCCGGAUCUGCUGCGGCGCAGCUCCAAUCGAGGGAGAGUUGUCUGUAUCAGCGACACCAACGGAGGCUUCGUAGCUUCGCAAUCCUCCAAGAUGAUCAUAUUGUCCGUAUUUUAACAAGAUCGAGGAGAAAUGCACUGCUAGUUUUUCCUGGGCGAAGGUUUCCUGAGAUUGUGAUUGCGGAAGAAGAAGGGUGGAAUAAGUGUAUUGAAGGUUCAAAUGCUGUUGUAAACUUGGCUGGAAUGCCCAUAAGUACUAGAUGGUCAUCUGAGGUCAAGAAGGAAAUUAAGCAAAGCCGAGUCAAAGUUACUUCUAAGGUGGUUGAUCUGAUUAAUAAGAUGAAUUCCAGUACACGGCCUUCUGUUCUGAUCAGCGCAACAGCAAUUGGCUAUUAUGGACCUCAGGUUCCCCUUUUAAGGUUGAGUUUGGGAGAGGUGCAAAUGAACACAAGAGGACUGAGAAUUGAGGUUACAACUGAUGAUGGAACCUUGUAUGUAAUGGCCUUAUCUACUCGAUUAUGGCUAUAAUAAACUCAACGUAGAGGAAACUGAGUUGGAGAAGAGGGAAUGAAUUAAGUUUGGAGGUCUCUCCUUGCAUCAUCGUCAUCUUUAUCUUAAUGGACACAAGAAGGUUCAAGAUUUUAAAUAAAAGAUAGAUACUAGAGGAGCGAUUGCUUACAAAAGACGAGAUCGACAACCCGAAAGAUAAACUUUUCUUUGUUAAUUAAAUUAUUUUUUGUAUUGGCUCUUCUAAUUAAUAUUUGGAUGGUAAACUGUUAGUGAUAGAAAAUGAAAAUAGAAAAUUUUAAUUUCAUCAUCCGACCAUCCUAUUCUCAUAUUGGAAAUUUCAAGCCCUCCAGCCGGAUCGUGACACAUUUUAGACAUUAAUUGAUUAGAUCUGGAAAGAAUAGAGAGUGAAAUUACAUAAGAGCAUGGUAUUGUGGUAAUGCAAAUGGAACUUACUUCAUCGCAACGAUUCUUCCCCGUUCAAGAAAUGAUUGUUUCUUGGGGCAUUUACAUAUAGUACACAAUUCUUAUGUAUUUAAAUAUCUCACACCUAAACAUUCAAACUUACAAACAUAUCACUCAAAUCAUAAUAUAACAUCUGGUAUUGCCAUUUUUAAAAGUCAAAUACACCUUUUCAUGCAAAGGUUUAAAGUGCACCAAAGUGUUAUGUGUAAA